rnacentral:tRNA from 1 species
GCGGGUUUAGCUCAGUUGGGAGAGCGUCAGACUGAAGCCAAACUUCAAUCGUUACGAUAUCUGAAGGUCAUGUGUUCGAUCCACAUAAACCGCA